rnacentral:rRNA from 1 species
UACGAAGGGGGCUAGCGUUGCUCGGAAUCACUGGGCGUAAAGGGUGCGUAGGCGGGUUUUUAAGUCAGAGGUGAAAUCCUGGAGCUCAACUCCAGAACUGCCUUUGAUACUGAAGAUCUUGAGUUCGGGAGAGGUGAGUGGAACUGCGAGUGUAGAGGUGAAAUUCGUAGAUAUUCGCAAGAACACCAGUGGCGAAGGCGGCUCACUGGCCCGAUACUGACGCUGAUGCACGAAAGCGUGGGGAGCAAACAGG